rnacentral:rRNA from 1 species
GACGAACGCUGGCGGCGUGCUUAACACAUGCAAGUCGAACGGAAAGGCCCUGCUUUUGUGGGGUGCUCGAGUGGCGAACGGGUGAGUAACACGUGAGUAACCUGCCCUUGACUUUGGGAUAACUUCAGGAAACUGGGGCUAAUACCGGAUAGGCGCUCCUGCUGCAUGGUGGGGGUUGGAACGUUCGGGCGGUUGGGGGUGGGCUCGCGGCUUAUCAGCUUGUGGGUGGGGUAGUGGCUUACCAAGGCUUUGACGGGUGGCCGGCCUGAGAGGGUGGCCGGCCACAUUGGGACUGAGGUACGGCCCAGAGUCCUACGGGGGGCAGCAGUGGGGAAUAUUGCACAAUGGGCGGAAGCCUAAUGCAGCAACGCCGCGUGCGGGAUGACGGCCUUCGGGUUGUAAACCGCUUUCGCCUGUGACGAAGCGUGAGUGACGGUAAUGUGUAAAGAAGCACCGGCUAACUACGUG